GGUGGCCGAGUGGUCAAGGCGAUGGACGAUGGGUGAUGCUAAUCCAUUGUGCUCUGCACAUGUGGGUUCGAAUCCCAUCC
rnacentral:tRNA from 1 species